rnacentral:lncRNA from 1 species
CGAAAUAUAGGUAGGAGGAGGGCUUACGAGUAUCAUAUAUUAUCUAACAUAUGCAUGUGUUCUUUAAUCUUCAGGUGUGUGCAAAGAUUAAAUCAACAGUACAUUAUUCGAAGACAAACUGAUCCAGGAGUUGAGGAGAAUGUUUUAUAAACAAUAUUAUUUUUACAUUACCUUAUUCCACUACUCUUUCUUACAGUAAAUGGAAGGGAAAGCAAAACAGGCUCGACUGGAAAAUUAUAGCUUAGAAAGGCGAUAUUGUUUACAAAUGCAAUGAAGUAUCGACAUCCCAUUUAUCAUAAUUAUAUGAUGGGCUCAUUGCUGUUGUUGAUGCAGGUAGUGCAGCAUUGUUGGACCAUAAGUUUAAAGAGGCAGUGUUCUUGAAGGACGUUGAAUUCGCGUGUUUGUUGUGCAGUUCAAGGCCUAGAUGGAGCGGUGAUGCCUCUUGCUGGGAUGAUCUUGAUGGAAAAUUCGGGUCUUUAUGGAAGUUAAUGUUGGAUUGCUCGAAAGGCACUGAUCCUGGCAUGGUGAAUGUGUUAUCAGGCUCUGGAUAGAUCAGUCUGUGAUGUUCCUUUUCCUCUCUUUUCUCCCUCAUUCUCUGUAAGUGUCUGAAUCUCUCUUGAAGGAGCGCGAUUGAUGAAGUGCCUGAGAUUUUAUCGCCUUUUUGCCCUGCCAUGGACUCUAUUGUGGGAUAAAGUGGUUAGAGAAAUAGUUGUGUGUGGAGUAGAUUUGCGAGUUUGAACAGCUAGCCUAUGAAUAAGUGCUUAUAUAGGAGAAACAGAUGUUUUUCUAUCGGUUUUACCUUCUGAAUUUCUUGCUCUCGGGUGAUUCUGGUGCUUUCUGUAGGAUGCAGUUAAGAGAAGAAUCGGCUACUCUGGGACUAAAUCCAAGGAGAAGAGUCGGAUUUUUUAACAUGAGUUGGUAUAAAUGAAAGCAAUAGGAGGGAUUUUUUUAAAGGAAAGAAACUGUUCAGAACAUAAGAACAAAUAAAAGUGGAGAAUAGCAUUUGGAAGAUUGUCGGCUGUUGAUA